rnacentral:rRNA from 1 species
UACGUAGGGUGCGAGCGUUAAUCGGAAUUACUGGGCGUAAAGCGCACGUAGGCGGCUUUGUAAGUCCGAGGUGAAAGCCUGGAGCUCAACUCCAGAACUGCCUUUGAGACUGCAUCGCUUGAAUCCAGGAGAGGUGAGUGGAAUUCCGAGUGUAGAGGUGAAAUUCGUAGAUAUUCGGAAGAACACCAGUGGCGAAGGCGGCUCACUGGACUGGUAUUGACGCUGAGGUGCGAAAGCGUGGGGAGCAAACAGG